UUUCGUUUUUUCUGUAGUUAG
rnacentral:piRNA from 1 species